rfam:Helicobacter apodemus strain MIT-03-7007 CONTIG_190, whole genome shotgun sequence.
AUAGACUUCUUUGUGUGAUGGUGUUUUCGUUAUUAGUCUCUUAAGUUGAGAUGAGAAUCUGCCGCCUAAUAAGAAGCUUAUGAUUGGAAUUUUUGCCAUUUAUGGGCUUACACGAAUAGAACGUUCACUUGGGU